AGAGUUUGAUCCUGGCUCAGGACGAACGCUGGCGGCGUGCCUAAAACAUGCAAGUCGAACGGUGUAGCAAUACACAGUGGCGAACGGCGGAGUAAUACAUAAGCAACGUGCCCGGAAGACUGGGAUAGUCAGGGGAAACCCUGGGUAAUACCAGAUGUGGCCGAUCUUUGGCAUCUUAGAUCGAUUAAAGGGUUUUUCGCUUCCGGAGCGGCUUAUGGCCUAUCAGGUAGUUGGUGAGGUAACGGCUCACCAAGCCGACGACGGGUAGCGGGUCUGAGAGGAUGAUCCGCUCGAGUGGGACUGAGACACGGCCCACACACCUACGGGUGGCAGCAGUUGGGAAUCUUGCACAAUGGGGGAAACCCUGAUGCAGCGACGCCGCGUGGAGGAUGAAGGAUCUAGGUCUGUAAACUCCUUUUUCAGGGAAAGACUUAGGACGGUACCCUGAGAAUAAGGACCGGCUAACUACGUGCCAGCAGCCGCGGUAAGACGUAGGGUCCAAGCGUUGUCCGGAUUUACUGGGCGUAAAGAGCGCGUAGGCGGUCUUGUAAGUGUGAAGUGAAAUCUCCAGGGCUCAACCCGGAAACUGCUUUACAUACUGCAAGACUGGAGGGAUGCAGAGGUUUGUGGAAUUCCUGGUGUAACGGUGAAAUGUGUUGAUAUCAGGAGGAACACCCAUGGCGAAGGCAGCAAACUGGGCAUCAUCUGACGCUGAGGCGCGAAAGCGUGGGUAGCAAACAGGAUUAGAUACCCUAGUAGUCC
rnacentral:rRNA from 1 species